GAUGAACGCUGGCGGUAUGCUUAGCACAUGCCAGUCGAACGGACUCUUCGGAGUUAGUGGCGGACGGGUGAGUAACGCGUGAGAAUCUGGCUUUGGGUUCGGGACAACCACUGGAAACGGUGGCUAAUACCGGAUGUGCCGAGAGGUAAAAGAGAAAUUGCCUGAAGAUGAGCUCGCGUCUGAUUAGCUAGUUGGUGAGGUAAAGGCUCACCAAGGCAGCGAUCAGUAGCUGGUCUGAGAGGAUGACCAGCCACACUGGGACUGAGACACGGCCCAGACUCCUACGGGAGGCAGCAGUGGGGAAUUUUCCGCAAUGGGCGAAAGCCUGACGGAGCAAUACCGCGUGAGGGAAGAAGGCUCUUGGGUUGUAAACCUCUUUUCUUAGGGAAGAACAAAAUGACGGUACCUAAGGAAUCAGCAUCGGCUAACUCCGUG
rnacentral:rRNA from 1 species